rnacentral:rRNA from 1 species
UACGAGGGGGGCAAGCGUUGUUCGGAAUUAUUGGGCGUAAAGAGCGUGUAGGCGGCCAUACAGGUCCGUUGUGAAAACUGGAGGCUUAACCUCCAGACGUCGAUGGAAACCGUAUGGCUAGAGUCCGGAAGAGGAGAGUGGAAUUCCUGGUGUAGCGGUGAAAUGCGCAGAUAUCAGGAAGAACACCCGUGGCGAAGGCGGCUCUCUGGGACGGUACUGACGCUGAGACGCGAAAGCGUGGGGAGCGAACAGG